UACAGGGGGGGCAAGCGUUGUUCGGAAUUACUGGGCGUAAAGGGCUCGUAGGCGGCCAACUAAGUCCGACGUGAAAUCCCAAAGCUUAACUUUGGAACUGCGUCGGAUACUGGAUGGCUUGAAUUCGGGAGAGGGAUGCAGAAUUCCAGGUGUAGCGGUGAAAUGCGUAGAUAUCUGGAGGAAUACCGGUGGCGAAGGCGGCAUCCUGGACCGACAUUGACGCUGAGGAGCGAAAGCGUGGGGAUCAAACAGG
rnacentral:rRNA from 1 species